rnacentral:misc_RNA from 1 species
UAAAUUGCAAGUUUUUUUCGGCACAACUUGGUUCCUCUACUCGUCGCAAGAUGGCGUUGGCAUUAUUAAAAUAAACAAGAAUGACGUGCAUUUGCGUCGGUGUAGACCCAUCAUGAAAACGUAGAUAUGAUAAUUUUAUAUUUAAAAAAAGCUAACGUGACAUAAAUUUGACAAAUGUCUAAAAGAAAUAUAGUAUCUUCUGUGUAAUAUCUUCUUCCGUGCACGUGUGAUUUAUUGUUUAGUCAAUUUAAAUAUCACUCUAAGUAAGAACUGUUAGACAAAACACUCGUAGCAUAAUUGUAUAUUUCAAUAUAUCACAGCCAUACAUUUUUAUAUUCUUUCAGGUGAUUCAGCUUACCCACAGAGGCAAACACUACUGAUGGAUGCACUGACUUUUGGAUGCACCUGUAGGAUCUCCAGAAGCUCGUUAUACCGCUUUACAAGUUCGAGCCCGCAACUGUAUAGAGCGGUGUUUUGGGCGACUAAAAAUCAGUUGGUAGUGUUUGUCGUCAAUGGAGAAACUGCACUACAAGCCAGCAGCGGCAGCUAAGAUCGUUAAAACGUGUUGUGUGCUUGACAAUAUAGCUAACAAAGCGAAUUGUGAACUGCCUCCGCUGAACCGACACGAAGAACAGGAGCAGCAGCAGGAGCAGAGAUUAGCGGCGGAGUUUGACGCCCGUCAGCAGAAUGCUGAUAUUUAUUUGGCAAUGGCUCCUGACAGGUGUUGGCUAAACAAAGAGCUGCAGCUGGGUCGCGCUGCUCGUCAAGCGCUUGUCCGGCAGUUAGCAAAUUAUUGAUUCUUCAUCGGACCAAGGCCGAUUUGUCCAGGACCAAUUUUCGGAUCUCCUGGGCUUCCUGGAACAAGGACUAGUGAUUGUUUCGAGGAGCUGUCAUGGUGUUGGCUCUUGAUAUUUUAUCGUGAAACGCAGGAAUGCGGAGCACCUUGCUACUACUAAAAUGGAGAACCCGGACCUGUUAGCGACAUGGAACUGACCAGGACCGUCGUGGGCUCCUCAUGUGCCACCCCCGGAUACCUUUUCUGAUUGUGGUGUUUACAGUACAGUAGUGUACAUAUUCAUGAAAAAAAAAUUGUAGGUACUUUUUUUACAUUUUUAAAAAACGCACUCUGCAUGGUUUUGGAGUUUCGACUUCGUGCUAGAUAAAAACCCCCAGGCAAGAGCAAACAAUUUUUUUUCCUAGCCUAUAUUUGUGACCCACUGCAAAGGCCUCUCUUUUCUUCCGCCACCCAUCACGUUUUGCCGCCUGCUUCGGCUAGCCGCAGCAAAAUACGUCGAGGUCAUCUCGCCUCGUUUUUUUUGGUCUACCUCUGCCCCGACUAGUCGGGUGGUGUCCAGUUAGCAAACUAUACACCCUGUUUCUAUUUUAAAUUAUAUGUGUUGUAUUCUUUUCUUGUACAAUAAAGUGUUUACUUACUUACUUUUUUGAAUUCCGUUAACUUUAAGGGAAGGUUCUUUAGAUUAAAUACGAUUAAUUUCUCAAAAAAGCUAGCGUCUUGACUGUUACGUUUACCGAGUUUGAAAAAAUAAUAGUUAUUUGUUUUACAAGGGGGCAAAGUAGUUGUUUAACUGGACGUGCCAAUAUUGAUACCUGAGCAAGGGAAAGAUUUCAAUAUUGAACCGCGAGCGUAGCGAGUGGUUCAAAAAGUGGAAUCUUGAGCGUUGCGAGGGUAUCGAGACACGAAGGUAAAAGGAACUUUGCCACCGACUAUAUAUAUAGAGCAGCGAAGUGGUCCAAUGAUAGCAACCUUCCCCUAAUAACUCUUUCAUUAGAUUUUUAUAAUAUUAGGUAAAAGACAUGGAGACAGCCAAUUUUUGGCUUCACUUUUUAACGUGCUAAUUCUAUAGAGCCAGGUUUCUGGGCUCUCUGGUGAUUCUGUGUUUUAAACACAUCUUUAGAAUAAAAGCUUUACCUUAUGUCAAAAAAGUAUUUUAUUUGAAUAAAGGUAUUUUGAAGAUACCUAUUUUGCAUUUUGUAUUUCAAAUACCUUUUUCUAAAACUAUUUUGUAUUUUUAUUUGAAAUAGGUAAAAAACCAAAGUAUUUGCAUUUUGUAUUUAAAUACAUUGCUGGAGAGCAUCACUUUGUUUUUCUGUCAAUGAAAAGAAGAAUAUAGUAACUAUGUAUGAAGUCCAUGUAGAGGCACUGCGUUUCAAUAUUAAGUAUCAGUGUGAGAUAAGAUUUUUCAAAAUAAUAGUCACGAUAUUUGUUUAAUUUGAUAGUCACGUGUAUUUAAAUUGUAGUAAGUAUCUACAUUAGUUCAGAGUUUAUUGCUGGGUGUGGCCAUACUGUAGAUAGAGCUCUUUCUUGUACUGUGCCCUUAGGUUCCCCCUUUGUAAUAAUUGCAGUGGUUCUUCAAAUCAUACAUGCGGUAAAUAAUGCGGUCGUGGCACGGAAUAUCUACUAGCUGAAGAAGAGUUACUGUCAAAGUAAAAUGUGUAAUCACAGUGCCUAUACUGCUAUCUCUCGACACAGGCUUAAAACUUUUGAACCACAGUUUUGAAAAUUUGACCCAUAUUCUUAGCUUGAUAUGAGUUAAAGUGUAAAAUACUAAUAUUGGCGCCAUCUAGCCGAGCACCCCCCAAAGGUGUAAAGCCAUCUAAGCCACCGUACCUUUUUCUUUAUAGUUCUGAGUUUGGCCGUUUUCUUCCUAUCUGUCUAU